GACGAACGCUGGCGGCGUGCUUAACACAUGCAAGUCGAACGGUAAGGCCCUUCGGGGUACACGAGUGGCGAACGGGUGAGUAACACGUGGGUGAUCUGCCCUGCACUUCGGGAUAAGCCUGGGAAACUGGGUCUAAUACCGGAUAGGACUCCGGACUGCAUGGUCUGGGGUGGAAAGCUUUUGCGGUGUGGGAUGGGCCCGCGGCCUAUCAGCUUGUUGGUGGGGUGAUGGCCAACCAAGGCGACGACGGGUAGCCGGCCUGAGAGGGUGACCGGCCACACUGGGACUGAGAUACGGCCCAGACUCCUACGGGAGGCAGCAGUGGGGAAUAUUGCACAAUGGGCGCAAGCCUGAUGCAGCGACGCCGCGUGAGGGAUGACGGCCUUCGGGUUGUAAACCUCUUUCAGCAUCGACGAAGCGAAAGUGACGGUAGGUGCAGAAGAAGGACCGGCCAACUACGUGCCAGCAGCCGCGGUAA
rnacentral:rRNA from 1 species